GACGUAGGAUGCAAGCGUUGUCCGGAUUUAUUGGGCGUAAAGAGUUCGUAGGUGGUUUGUUAAGUUUGGUGUUAAAGAUUGGGGCUCAACCCUGAAACUGCACUGAAUACUGGCAGACUCGAGUGUGGUAGAGGCUAGUGGAAUUCCCAGUGUAGCGGUGAAAUGCGUAGAUAUUGGGAAGAACACCGGUGGCGUAGGCGACUAGCUGGGCCAUAACUGACACUGAGGAACGAAAGCCAGGGGAGCGAAUGGGAUUAGAUACCCCAGUAGUCCUGGCCGUAAACGAUGGAUACUAGGCGUAUCGGGUAUCGACCCCUGAUGUGCCGCAGCUAACGCGAUAAGUAUCCCGCCUGAGUAGUACGGCCGCAAGGUUGAAACUCAAAGGAGUUGACGGGGGCCCGCACAAGCGGUGGAACAUGUGGUUUAAUUCGAAGCAACGCGAAGAACCUUACCAGGGCUUGACAUGGUAGGAACCUUUAGGAAACUAGAGGGUGCCCGCAAGGGAGCCUACACACAGGUGGUGCAUGGCUGUCGUCAGCUCGUGUCGUGAGACGUUGGGUUAAGUCCCGCAACGAGCGCAACCCCCGUUGUUAGUUGCCAUCAGGUAAUGCUGGGCACUCUAGCGAGACUGCCGGUGACAAACCGGAGGAAGGUGGGGACGACGUCAAGUCAUCAUGCCCCUUAUGCCCUGGGCUACACACGUGUUACAAUGGUUGGGACAAUGUGAUGCAAUCCCGCGAGGGGGAGCGAACCACCAAACCCAAUCUCAGUUCGGAUCGCAGGCUGCAACUCGCCUGCGUGAAGUCGGAAUCGCUAGUAACCGCAGAUCAGCACGCUGCGGUGAAUACGUUCCCGGGCCU
rnacentral:rRNA from 1 species